AUUGAACGCUGGCGGCAGGCCUAACACAUGCACGUCGAGCGGAGCGGCGGACGGGUGAGUAAUGCCUAGGAAUCUGCCUGGUAGUGGGGGAUAACGUCCGGAAACGGGCGCUAAUACCGCAUCCUAUCAGUUGAGCCUAGUUCGGAUUAGCUAGUUUGUGGGGUAAAGGCCUACCAGGGCGACGAUCCGUAACUGGGCUGAGAGGAUGAUCAGGCACACUGGAACUGCGACACGGUCCAGCCUCCUACGGGCGGCAGAAGUGGGGAAUAUUGGACAAUGGGCGAAAGCCUGAUCCAGCCAUGCCGCGUGUGUGAAGAAGGUCUUCGGAUUGUAAAGCAAUUUAAGUUGGGAGGCGUUACCAACAGAAUGAGCACCGGCUAACUUCGUGCAAGCAGCCGCGGUAAUAC
rnacentral:rRNA from 1 species